CCUACGGGGGACAGCAGUGAGGAAUAUUGGUCAAUGGACGCAAGUCUGAACCAGCCAUGCCGCGUGCAGGAAGACGGCUCUAUGAGUUGUAAACUGCUUUUGUACGAGGGUAAACGCAGAUACGCGUAUCUGUCUGAAAGUAUCGUACGAAUAAGGAUCGGCUAACUCCGUGCCAGCAGCCGCGGUAAUACGGAGGAUUCAAGCGUUAUCCGGAUUUAUUGGGUUUAAAGGGUGCGUAGGCGGUCGGAUAAGUUAGAGGUGAAAUCCCGAGGCUCAACUUCGGAAUUGCCUCUGAUACUGUUCGUCUAGAGUGUAGUUGCGGUAGGCGGAAUGUAUGGUGUAGCGGUGAAAUGCUUAGAGAUCAUACAGAACACCGAUUGCGAAGGCAGCUUACCAAGCUACUUCUGACGUUGAGGCACGAAAGCGUGGGGAGCAAACAGGAUUAGAUACCCUGGUAGUC
rnacentral:rRNA from 1 species